CCUAACACAUGCAAGUCGAACGGUAACAGGAAGCAGCUUGCUGCUUUGCUGACGAGUGGCGGACGGGUGAGUAAUGUCUGGGAAACUGCCUGAUGGAGGGGGAUAACUACUGGAAACGGUGGCUAAUACCGCAUAACGUCGCAAGACCAAAGAGGGGGACCUUCGGGCCUCUUGCCAUCAGAUGUGCCCAGAUGGGAUUAGCUUGUUGGUGAGGUAACGGCUCACCAAGGCGACGAUCCCUAGCUGGUCUGAGAGGAUGACCAGCCACACUGGAACUGAGACACGGUCCAGACUCCUACGGGAGGCAGCAGUGGGGAAUAUUGCACAAUGGGCGCAAGCCUGAUGCAGCCAUGCCGCGUGUAUGAAGAAGGCCUUCGGGUUGUAAAGUACUUUCAGCGGGGAGGAAGGUGUUGUGGUUAAUAACCGCAGCAAUUGACGUUACCCGCAGAAGAAGCACCGGCUAACUCCGUGCCAGCAGCCGCGGUAAUACGGAGGGUGCAAGCGUUAAUCGGAAUUACUGGGCGUAAAGCGCACGCAGGCGGUCUGUCAAGUCGGAUGUGAAAUCCCCGGGCUCAACCUGGGAACUGCAUUCGAAACUGGCAGGCUUGAGUCUUGUAGAGGGGGGUAGAAUUCCAGGUGUAGCGGUGAAAUGCGUAGAGAUCUGGAGGAAUACCGGUGGCGAAGGCGGCCCCCUGGACAAAGACUGACGCUCAGGUGCGAAAGCGUGGGGAGCAAACAGGAUUAGAUACCCUGGUAGUCCACGCCGUAAACGAUGUCUACUUGGAGGUUGUGCCCUUGAGGCGUGGCUUCCGGAGCUAACGCGUUAAGUAGACCGCCUGGGGAGUACGGCCGCAAGGUUAAAACUCAAAUGAAUUGACGGGGGCCCGCACAAGCGGUGGAGCAUGUGGUUUAAUUCGAUGCAACGCGAAGAACCUUACCUGGUCUUGACAUCCACAGAAGAAUCCAGAGAUGGAUUUGUGCCUUCGGGAACUGUGAGACAGGUGCUGCAUGGCUGUCGUCAGCUCGUGUUGUGAAAUGUUGGGUUAAGUCCCGCAACGAGCGCAACCCUUAUCCUUUGUUGCCAGCGGUUAGGCCGGGAACUCAAAGGAGACUGCCAGUGAUAAACUGGAGGAAGGUGGGGAUGACGUCAAGUCAUCAUGGCCCUUACGACCAGGGCUACACACGUGCUACAAUGGCGCAUACAAAGAGAAGCGACCUCGCGAGAGCAAGCGGACCUCAUAAAGUGCGUCGUAGUCCGGAUUGGAGUCUGCAACUCGACUCCAUGAAGUCGGAAUCGCUAGUAAUCGUGGAUCAGAAUGCCACGGUGAAUACGUUCCCGGGCCUUGUACACACCGCCCGUCACACCAUGGGAGUGGGUUGCAAAAGAAGUAGGUAGCUUAACCUUCGGGAGGGCGCUUACCACUUUGUGAUUCAUGACUGGGGUGAAGUCGUAACAAGGUAACCGUAGGGGAACCUGCGGUUGGA
rnacentral:rRNA from 3 species